rnacentral:rRNA from 1 species
AGAGAGAGUUCAAUAGACCGUGAAACCGUUGGGAGGGAAGCUCAGGGUGUCGAGGUUGUCGUGCUCUGUCUAAGUUCAGCCGGUGGUGUCGGGGUUGCCCGACGCUGCUGGUGCAUUCUUGGGCGGAGUUGGACCGUCAGUUGGGAAGAGGCCGGGACCUGUUUGUCGGCGGUCGGGAGGUACGCCUUGGACCUCCUGUGGGGUUCAAGGUGACGUAUAGCCGUUCCGUCGUGGUCCCGGUGUCUCUUUCAGGUGCGUUGGAUGUCUGAUCGUCCAGAACAGUAAGAUGCAGUCUCUCUUUCGUGGGGGACCGGGCCCGUUUGGCAGUCGCGAUGCGUUGGUGAGCCGUGUUCCGUUCUCUCUCCGUUUAGCUUCGGCUUGCGGGGCAAGAGUGCGGCACGUCACUCCAGCGACGUUGUCCUGUCCAGGCGGUGUUCCAAGUUGUCUGCGUCGAGGCGACUGGCGAAGAGUCGUUACCCUGUGCCCCGUCUU